CUGGCAGCGACCUUAUCUGUUCACUGGCGAAAGAGGGAGAUUCCGCGACCUGCGGCCGCUGCUGCCGUCGCCAGCGGCCGAAUCCAACCAAAUCAGCAUGGCUGCGGCGGCGCCAAUCCCGGCUCUGCUGGAAGAGCUCGUCAGCGCCGGUCCCGGCUUUGCUAGAAGAGCUCGUCGAGGAGAUCCUCCUCCGCCUCCCUCCGGCCAAGCCCGAUAGCCUCGUCCGCGCCGCCCUGGCGCCGCCUCAUCUCCGGUCGCAGCUUCCGCCGCCGAUUCCAUGAGUUCCACCGCGCGCCCCCCAUGCUCGGCCUCAUCUGCAACCGUGUCAACGAGAAUUUCUACAUCAUCUACCUAGCCCGCUUCGUCCCCACCUGCUCCUUCCGCCCACCCCACGCCGACCGCCGUGAGUGGCGCGCGCUCGAUGCCACGGCCGCGUCCUCCUCCGCGUCAGGAGCGCGGCCUCCUUCGCGUCAGGAGCUGGGGGCCUCGCCACCUCGUCGUCUGGGACCCUGUGACAGACGAGUGGAGCCAGCUACCCACGGGGCAACUGCUUGCCGACUACUGGAACGUGGCUGUGCUCUGCGUGGCCUGUGGCACUGGCGGCGCCUGUGACCACAUCGACUGCCACCACGGACACUUCUUCUUCGUCUUCUUGGGCACCGGUGCCGAGCACAUGACAUUGUGGGUCUACUCGUCAGAGGCUGGAACCUGGAGUGAGCCGACCUCUGUUGUUCAGUUCCCCAAGUACCAUGUCGAUGAACCGCCCUCUGCCAUUGUUGGGAAUGCACUCUAUUGACUCAAGCAGGAGAAUUCUCAAGUAUGAUUUGGCCACACGGGAAAUCAAUGUGCAUCUCCAACCUCCUGGGUCCUAUAGGACCUGUACCACAAUCAUGACAGUGGAGGAUGGCGGUCUGGGAGUCGCAAGAAUGGAAGGGCCCAGACUCCCUGUGGUCAAUGGAGGCAAGUCCUGAUGGAGGCAUGGGAUGGGCACAAAUCAGUCAUUGACCUCCCGAAGUUACUCUCUGUCGAUGCAAACUCCAUUUGUUCUGAUUUUCUUGGCUUUGCUCAUGGUGUCGGCGUCAUUUUUGUGGGUACAGGUGAUGGGCUAUUCAGUUUUGAUUUAAAGUCUGGCCAGGUGAGGAAUGUAUGUGAGGCGGCAUGCUAUUUCAAUAGCAUCCGUGGCGUUGUUCCCUCUAUGAGCUUCCACACUCCAGGUGUAGACGACAGUGGCGUCGUGUUGUUAGAUCUGCUGUUGUUAUCUAUAGGAGCAGGUGACAAUGGUGGUGUUGGAUCAGUAGUCGUCUCUGUCGUCACCUCUUUGCCAUCGCAGAUGAUCUUGACUUCACAGUAGAGAGGACAGGAACAAGUUCAAUGAUUGCGUUAGCGAUUUGAUCGCUCUCGAUGAGGUAUACAUCGACGGUAACCUGAAUGUAUAAAAAGAAUGAUAUUUGAGUCUUCAAUUUCGUCCUACGAUUCAAAACUUGUUCAGAGGUCAGAACAGUUAAUGAACUGGUCUAGCUGCUCACCUGAAAUUUGCGGCACUGAUCCAGGAAUUUCUGCAGCAUCUCUCGCCUCUUCGAUCUCUCUUGGUUCAAGUAGGUUUCGAUCUGCUCUGGGCUUGCUCGGCUCUUAGGCAUCAUUCCUACUAUUUCAGAAAUCGAUGGUGUGUCAGGUUCCUCACAAAAUACAACUUUUAACUGAAUAUUGCUUACAGAUUGUCGGAUGCAAAACAUAGACAGUAACACAUUCAGAAAAUUCAGCUCCUUACAGAAACAUAUCCAUGUUUUUUUUGUUAUUUUCACUCUGUAAGUUGCCGAACCUGCUGAAAGUCUAUUUUUAUCUUGCCAGCGUCAUUGUAUCUAAAGACUAGAAGCUGGCAGAAUGGAAUCCUACUGUGGUGGUCUUGUUCACACUUUAGUGGCAGUCUAACAUCACAAUAUACGCCAUACGCUACCCGGCAUCUCACAAACCUACUUUUUGUGCUUUUGGCAUCCUGUAUGGACGUAUGGUCCCUGGUCCACGUAUAUUGCUAGCAUUCGCUACUUGGAGCUCAAAGGAUGCAUGUGAUCGUUGAGAAUUGAUUCUACAACUUCCACUGAAGCAAAGAUCAUGUUUGGUUUAGGAGGCACAGGUCACACCUAACGCAUGAUGGGUGGCUUUGUUCGUAUCUCGGAUCCUCUCUACAAGGUCAGCAUCAACCGCUUGGAACUUUGCUGUUGCAGCUUUGCGAUGGGCCCAAACCCAAAGCAUUCUUGGCGCAAAGAGGUUCACAAGCAAGGCUCCAAGGGAAACUCCCGCGCGUGAAGAAGACACCUUUAAGAAAGUCCAAGAACUUGACCUUCGAUUCUUCCAUCAGCAUGGCCAUCUAGAUUGAAGUAGUACGCGAAAGAGGCAGCUUUCUGGGACCCCGAUUAAUGGUGACCCGAAGCAAAGACUGAAUUGCAACAUUGUCCUGUCACUGGUUGUUACGAUGGUAGUCCUGAUUUGACUCUUAAUUCCCAAUUUGCCGAGGGAAAGGUUUUUGUUCGAGUUCAGCUCAAGGAACAUUAAUUGGACAAUAUUGUGACAUUAUUGGAAUAGUGACUGGUGUUGGCGGGGCUACAAGCCUGAUUGUAA